rnacentral:rRNA from 1 species
CGUAGGCAGCGAGCGUUGUUCGGAGUUACUGGGCGUAAAGGGUGCGUAGGCGGCCUAUUAAGGUUUGUCGUGAAAUCUCCCGGCUCAACUGGGAGGGUGCGGCGGAUACUGAUGGGGCUUGGAGUGCGGGAGAGGAGAGUGGAAUUCCUGGUGUAGCGGUGAAAUGCGUAGAUAUCAGGAGGAACACCGGCGGUGUAGACGGCUCUCUGGACCGUAACUGACGCUGAGGCACGAAAGCGUGGGUAGCAAACAGGAUUAGAUACCCUGGUAGUCCACGCCCUAAACGAUGCGCAUUUGGUGUGGGCAGUUCAUUCUGUCCGUGCCGGAGCUAACGCGUUAAAUGCGCCGCCUGGGGAGUACAGUCGCAAGGCUG